rnacentral:rRNA from 1 species
AGUGAACGCUGGCGGUAGGCCUAACACAUGCAAGUCGAACGGCAGCACAGUAAGAGCUUGCUCUUACGGGUGGCGAGUGGCGGACGGGUGAGGAAUACAUCGGAAUCUACUUUUUCGUGGGGGAUAACGUAGGGAAACUUACGCUAAUACCGCAUACGACCUACGGGUGAAAGCAGGGGAUCUUCGGACCUUGCGCGAUUGAAUGAGCCGAUGUCGGAUUAGCUAGUUGGCGGGGUAAAGGCCCACCAAGGCGACGAUCCGUAGCUGGUCUGAGAGGAUGAUAAGCCACACUGGAACUGAGACACGGUCCAGACUCCUACGGGAGGCAGCAGUGGGGAAGAUUGGACAAGGGGCGCAAGCCUGAUCCAGCCAUACCGCGUGGGUGAAGAAGGCCUUCGGGUGGUAAAGCCCUUUUGUGGGGAAAGAAAAGCAGCAGGUUAAUACCCCGCUGUUCUGACGGUACCCAAAGAAUAAGCACCGGCUAACUUCGU